AGGUCGGACAAGCUCGUUGGCCACAUUGGGUAGCUGCCGCCCUCUGCUGAGAUUGUUCACACCAUGGAUGAGAUCUCCAACACUGUUUGCUCGGUCAUUGAUUCGGCGGAGCUGUGCAGGGACACGCACUCAGAUAGGGAGUUUAUGGAGGAAGCAGAUAAGGCAUCAAUGAUGAAUUAUGAGCAUCUUCAAGUAAGGUCUAUAACAUAAAUGGCAUCUGUGAAAAGGGAGAGAGCAGAGUGAAAUGACCAAACCAGAACGGUAACAUUCAUUUUCUGUGAUUUUCUGCAGUACCUGAACACAUAUACUACUUUAUAAAACGCGGUACUAAACGCUGAGAGUGAAGGUGCCCUGCCUACCAGAGGAAUAUGGGAAGGCAGCAAAUAACUUGCGUAUCGACUUUGAGAAAGGAGGGAUUCAUCUUCGUAACAGUUGCCAUAGUGAUAGUUAUAUUCUGUUGUGAUUGUUAGCUUUGAAUUUGAAUUAGAAAGAUAAUGCUCUACCAUUGCAGAUAAACUCAAGCAUCUUAAUCAGCUGAACCUUGCAAUUGUGCAUCUGGGCAGAAAGUAGGUAUUGGGCAGGCCGUUGCGAAGCUUAGUACUAUUUUCACUGUCGAACUUGCAUAUAUUGAAGUCAGUUGUAGUUCCAGUUUGGAAUUUAGUACCAUGCAUAUCAGCAUAUUAAGAGAAGCCUGAUUGGUUCCAUUGAUUUGCUAUAGAACGUUUUAUUAGACAUGAAGGUGCCUGGCCUUUCUUUUAUAAAAAUAGGGUAAGACCUACUUUGAAGAAAAAUUGCUUGUUAUGUUUACGAGUGGAGCGAGAAAACAAUUGCUAAUCUCCUUUCAUAUACUCAUUUUUGUAGCUCAGUUGUCCAUCUACAGAUAUUGGUGGUCAUGCCUUGCCCCUCACUUCCCUCCAAGCUUGUCGCCCUCGCCCCCCUCUUUGAGGCAGCCUUGUUAGACCAAAAGAAGCAAUACUUUCAUUGAUAGACUAAACGACUCAUGGCAUGUGGACUAAUGGACAUGUCUUUUAAUCCAAGGCAUGGAGAACUCGGUACAUGUCGAGGAAGAGGAACAUAAUGCCGGAGGAAGGCAAUAACAAGUAUCAUCUCAAGGAGUUCUUGAUGGAGACGAUUGGCCAGAUCUUACUUGUAGCUUUUUUUGUGGGAAAGUCUUUGACUCCACAUUGUUGGGCUAAGUUAUGUUCGCACUCCGUUUUGGAUUAAAUCAAUUGAACCUACUGAAAAAAAAAUCCUUUGGGAGUGUGACAUUAGCAGGCGCGACAAGAACGAUGAUGGGAUGCUCACUGGAGAUGAGGUCAAAAAGAUGAAUACGCCAAUGAUGCAUAGAUAUAUGUAUGAAUUGUACAUGUACACACAAAACAUACUGUGACAAGUAUCUCAUGCCAAGCUUUAGUUUCGGUAAGAGGUUUUGUUGCCCGUAGCAACGCA